rnacentral:lncRNA from 1 species
GUACUCUUUAUUAUACAGUGUAAACGGCUCUGUAACGCAGUAAUGACAGUACACCUAGGAGCUCGGAACUGAGAGGCACUAAAGUCAAUAGUUUAGCUAUUCGUGCAUCUUGAAUACUUUUGUCCUGUUACAUUUUCAAAAAAUCUCACUUUAGAUACCGAAGCUUUCUUCUUCAGGUUAGAAAAAGUUAAUGCAGUAUUUCCUCCCUUUGACAUAAGAAAAUUUAAACACAUUUAAUACGUCUUGGUAUUUUAUGGUGUUUCUUCUACCUGAGAUGAUAGGCUCUUAGUAAACAGGAAAAUGGUAAAACAAGCUUUUGACAAACACUUUUCAUACACAAACUACGUGCCAGAAACCUCUGUAUAAGAGAGCGGUGGAUUCCAAGAGCAGGAACCAUAAUUUAAUAUAAAGAAAAGGGUAACAGAAUAUAGACUUUCUGUUUAAAUAACUUUAAUUGCUCUUUUAAAAAUAAAGCCUAAAUAGUUGCACCUAUACCCUUUUUUAAAAAGUUUCUCCAUUUAAAAUAGGUACUUAUUUUGGAAUAGCUGGAAACUAAAAAAUGUA